GAAGGUGAAAGAUUUAUCGCCUAGGGAAGGGCUCGCGGCUGAUUAGCUAGUUGGUAAGGUAAAGGCUUACCAAGGCGACGAUCAGUAGCUGGUCUGAGAGGAUGAGCAGCCACACUGGGACUGAGACACGGCCCAGACUCCUACGGGAGGCAGCAGUGGGGAAUUUUCCGCAAUGGGCGAAAGCCUGACGGAGCAAUACCGCGUGUGGGAGGAAGGCUCUUGGGUUGUAAACCACUUUUCUCAGGGAAGAAUAGAUGACGGUACCUGAGGAAUAAGCAUCGGCUAACUCCGUGCCAGCAGCCGCGGUAAUACGGAGGAUGCAAGCGUUAUCCGGAAUCAUUGGGCGUAAAGCGUCCGCAGGUGGCCUAUCAAGUCUGCUGUCAAAGCGCAGAGCUCAACUCUGUAAAGGCAGUGGAAACUGGUAAGCUAGAGUACGGUAGGGGUAGCGGGAAUUCCCAGUGUAGCGGUGAAAUGCGUAGAUAUUGGGAAGAACAUCGGUAGCGAAGGCGCGCUACUGGGCCGAAACUGACACUGAGGGACGAAAGCUAGGGGAGCGAAAGGGAUUAGAUACCCCUGUAGUCCUAGCCGUAAACGAUGGAAACUAGGCGUGGCUUGUAUCGACCCGAGCCGUGCCGAAGCUAACGCGUUAAGUUUCCCGCCUGGGAGUACGCACGCAAGUGUGAAACUCAAAGGAAUUGACGGGGGCCCGCACAAGCGGUGGAGUAUGUGGUUUAAUUCGAUGCAACGCGAAGAACCUUACCAAGGCUUGACAUGUCGCGAACCCUGCUGAAAGGUGGGGGUGCCUUAGGGAGCGCGAACACAGGUGGUGCAUGGCUGUCGUCAGCUCGUGUCGUGAGAUGUUGGGUUAAGUCCCGCAACGAGCGCAACCCUCGUUUUUAGUUGCCAGCAUUAAGUUGGGCACUCUAGAGAGACUGCCGGUGACAAACCGGAGGAAGGUGGGGAUGACGUCAAGUCAGCAUGCCCCUUACGUCUUGGGCAACACACGUACUACAAUGGUCGGGACAAAGAGCAGCGACCUCGCGAGAGUAAGCGAAUCUCAUCAAACCCGGCCUCAGUUCAGAUUGCAGGCUGCAACUCGCCUGCAUGAAGGAGGAAUCGCUAGUAAUCGCAGGUCAGCAUACUGCGGUGAAUUCGUUCCCGGGCCUUGUACACACCGCCCGUCACACCAUGGAAGCUGGCCACACCCGAAGUCGUUACCCUAACCUUUCGAGGAGGGGGACGCCGAAGGUAGGGCUAGUGACUGGGGUGAAGUCGUAACAAGGUA
rnacentral:rRNA from 1 species